AGAUAUCACUUUUCACACUUUUGUCUAAGUUUGAUGGAAGUACUGAAAAGGAAUACAAAACAUACAAAGAAUUAUUUAUUAAGAAAUUUGAACUGACAAAGCUACCACGCUAUUUGAUCAUGAGUUUUAAGAGAUUUGCAAAGAACACCUUCUUUACAGAGAAAAACCCAACUGUUGUCAACUUUCCUGUUAAGGGUAUUGAUAUGGCGGAGUACCUUUCAAGUGAUCCUAAAGUUCAAGAUGCACACCCUCGUACAACCUAUGACCUGAUAGCAAACAUCUGCCAUGAAGGAGAUCCAG